GGGUAGUAAUUUAAAACCUAAAGAAUUUGGCGGUUCUUAAACUUACUAGAGGAACCUGUCCUAUAAUCGAUAGUCCACGAUCUUGUUUACCUACUUUUGUCGUCAGCUUAUAUACCGCCGUUUAGUGAAUUAAAUAAAUAAGUUCCCUUAAUUAAUUAGUUAAACAAAUCAGGUCAAGGUGUAGCUUAUGGGUAGGAAGAGAUGGGUUACAAUAUUAAUUUAAACGGAUAGUAUAACUUAGGUUACACUUAAAGGUGGAUUUAGAAGUAAAUCUUGCAGAUUUGAAGCGAGCUCUUAAGAAUGUACACAU
rnacentral:rRNA from 1 species